GGGUACCUACGGGGGGCAGCAGUAGGGAAUCUUCCACAAUGGACGAAAGUCUGAUGGAGCAACGCCGCGUGAGUGAAGAAGGGUUUCGGCUCGUAAAGCUCUGUUGGUAGUGAAGAAAGAUAGAGGUAGUAACUGGCCUUUAUUUGACGGUAAUUACUUAGAAAGUCACGGCUAACUACGUGCCCGCAGCCGCGGUAAUACGUAGGUGGCAAGCGUUUUCCGGAUUUUUUGGGCGUAAAGCGAG
rnacentral:rRNA from 1 species